rnacentral:rRNA from 1 species
UACGUAGGGUGCAAGCGUUGUCCGGAAUUAUUGGGCGUAAAGAGCUCGUAGGCGGUUUGUCGCGUCUGCUGUGAAAACGCGAGGCUCAACCUCGCGCCUGCAGUGGGUACGGGCAGACUAGAGUGCGGUAGGGGAGAUUGGAAUUCCUGGUGUAGCGGUGGAAUGCGCAGAUAUCAGGAGGAACACCGAUGGCGAAGGCAGAUCUCUGGCCGUUACUGACGCUGAGGAGCGAAAGCGUGGGGAGCGAACAGG